UAUCUCUGUAGAGUCUGCAUAUCAAUAAGCGGAGGAAAAGAAACUAACUAAGGAUUCCCUCAGUAACGGCGAGUGAAGCGGGAAGAGCUCAAAUUUGAAAUCUUCAAGGUUCUACCUUGACGAAUUGUAGUUUAAAGAAGUGUUUUCUGUUGGAGUUUUGGUAAAAGUUCUUUGGAAUAGGACAUCAUAGAGGGUGAGAAUCCCGUAUUUGACCAGUUAUUUUCCAGCUGUGUGAUACACUUUCAAAGAGUCGGAUUGUUUGGGAAUGCAGUCCAAAAUGGGUGGUAAAUUUCAUCUAAAGCUAAAUACUGGCGAGAGACCGAUAGCGAACAAGUACCGUGAGGGAAAGAUGAAAAGAACUUUGAAAAGAGAGUUAAACAGUACGUGAAAUUGUCAAAAGGGAAGCGUUUGACACCAGUGUUGUUUUCUCGAAAAUCAAUUAAAAAAGGCAGGAUUUUGUGUUGUAUUGACUUUAUCAAGCUUUCUUCACUCUUUUCUUGUCUUUUUUAAUGCACUUUUCGUUUAACAAGUCAACAUCAAUUUCUUUUGUUGUAAAAGGGUCAUUGGAAGGUGGCUUUCUUUUCGGAGAAAGUGUUUAUAGCCUUUGGCCUCUGCAAUCGGAGAGAUUGAGGUCUGCAGCGUAGAUCCUUCGGGGUUAGAUACAUUUGUGCUGAGUUAUAGCCUUUCAUAGACAACUUGUUGACUAUGAUCAGUCAUGUAGCUUACUCGCUUAUGCUAUUUUACCUACGCUUAGGAUGUUGAUAGUCACAGCGUGUAC
rnacentral:rRNA from 1 species